rnacentral:rRNA from 1 species
UACGAAGGGGGCUAGCGUUGCUCGGAAUCACUGGGCGUAAAGGGCGCGUAGGCGGCGUUUUAAGUCGGGGGUGAAAGCCUGUGGCUCAACCACAAAAUGGCCUUCGAUACUGGGACGCUUGAGUAUGGUAGAGGUUGGUGGAACUGCGAGUGUAGAGGUGAAAUUCGUAGAUAUUCGCAAGAACACCGGUGGCGAAGGCGGCCAACUGGACCAUUACUGACGCUGAGGCGCGAAAGCGUGGGGAGCAAACAGG